rnacentral:rRNA from 1 species
AGGAUGAACGCUGGCGGCGUGCUUAACACAUGCAAGUCGAACGAUGAAGCGGAGCUUGCUCUGUGGAUUAGUGGCGAACGGGUGAGUAACACGUGAGUAACCUGCCCUUGACUCUGGGAUAAGCACUGGAAACGGUGUCUAAUACCGGAUACGAGCUUCAGCCGCAUGGCUAGGAGUUGGAAAGAAUUUCGGUCAAGGAUGGACUCGCGGCCUAUCAGGUAGUUGGUGAGGUAAUGGCCCACCAAGCCUACGACGGGUAGCCGGCCUGAGAGGGUGACCGGCCACACUGGGACUGAGACACGGCCCAGACUCCUACGGGAGGCAGCAGUGGGGAAUAUUGCACAAUGGGCGCAAGCCUGAUGCAGCAACGCCGCGUGAGGGACGACGGCCUUCGGGUUGUAACCUCUUUAGUAGGGAAGAAGCGAAGUGACGGUACUGCAGAAAAGCACCGGCUAACUACGCGCCAGCAGCCGCGGU